AGUGAACGCUGGCGGUAGGCCUAACACAUGCAAGUCGAACGGCAGCACAGUAAGAGCUUUCUCUUACGGUUGGCGAGUGGCGGACGGGUGAGGAAUACAUCGGAAUCUACUUUUUCGUGGGGGAUAACGUAGGGAAACUUACGCUAAUACCGCAUACGACCUACGGGUGAAAGCAGGGGAUCUUCGGACCUUGCGCGAUUGAAUGAGCCGAUGUCGGAUUAGUUAGUUGGCGGGGUAAAGGCCCACCAAGGCGACGAUCCGUAGCUGGUCUGAGAGGAUGAUCAGCCACACUGGAACUGAGACACGGUCCAGACUCCUACGGGAGGCAGCAGUGGGGAAUAUUGGAAAAUGGGCGCAAGCCUGAUCCAGCCAUACCGCGUGGGUGAAGAAGGCCUUCGGGUUGUAAAGCCCUUUUGUUGGGAAAGAAAAGCAGCAGGUUAAUACCCCGCUGUUCUGACGGUACCCAAAGAAUAAGCACCGGCUAACUUCGUG
rnacentral:rRNA from 1 species